AACGCUGGCGGCGCGCUUAACACAUGCAAGUCGAGCGAGAACCUAGCCUUCGGGCUUGGGGACAGCGGCGAACGGGUGAGUAACACGUGGGUAAUCAACCCUCGACACUGGGAUAGCCCGGGGAAACCCGGAUUAAUACCGGAUACCCCAUCUGGCCUUCGGGCCGGCUGGAAAAGGUAGCUUUUGCCUCCGGUCGAGGACGAGCCCGCGGCGGAUUAGCUUGUUGGUGGGGUAAAAGCCCACCAAGGCGACGAUCCGUAGCUGGUCUGAGAGGACGAUCAGCCACACUGGGGCUGAGACACGGCCCAGACUCCUACGGGAGGCAGCAGUGGGGAAUCUUGCGCAAUGGGCGAAAGCCUGACGCAGCGACGCCGCGUGAGGGAAGAAGGCCUUCGGGUUGUAAACCUCUUUCAGAAGGGACGAAGCCACUCGGGUUAAUAGCCCAGAGGGUGACGGUACCUUCAGAAGAAGCCCCGGCUAACUACGUGCCAGCAGCCGCGGUAAGAC
rnacentral:rRNA from 1 species